UUCGCAAUGCCCGAAAGGGCGACGGAGCGACGCCGCGUGGAGGAUGAAGGCCCUCGGGUUGUAAACUCCUGUCAGGUGGGAAGAAUAGCAUCGGGCUGAACAACCCCGAUGCCUGACGUUACCACCAGAGGAAGCACCAGCAAACUUCGUGCCAGCAGCUGCGGUAAUACAGAGGCGGCAAGCGUUGUUCGGAAUUAUUGGGCGUAAAGAGCACGUAGGCGGCCUUGCAAGUCAGUUGUGAAAGCCUUCCGCUUAACGGAAGAAUGCCAGCUGAUACUACAGGGCUUGAGUACGGGAGGGGAGAGUGGAACUUCUGGUGGAGCGGUGAAAUGCGUAGAUAUCAGAAGGAACGCCGGCGGCGAAAGCGACUCUCUGGCCCGAAACUGACGCUGAGUGUGCGAAAGCUAGGGGAGCAAACGGGAUUAGAUACCCCGGUAGUCCUAGCCGUAAACGAUGGGCACUAAGUAGAGGGGUUUU
rnacentral:rRNA from 1 species